CUGAAACUACCAAAUGCAGAACGACCCCGAUAAAGGAUAUCUCAUCACAAAAUUGUGCUACACAAUUUUUUCCACCUGUUCUUCAAAUUAGGGGCAAACAAGGAGAAGGAGAAGACAGAUUUCUUCAACUCGAGGUUUACUUAGUUUUCAACUUCUGAUGUAUAUAUGGCUGGUCAUAAGAUAGCUCAUGCCACCUUGAAAGGGCCUAGUGUCGUUAAGGAGAUCUGCAUUGGAAUUGCGUUGGGUUUGGUUGCUGGAGGCAUGUGGAAGAUGCAUCAUUGGAAUGAGCAGAGGAAAGUUAGGCAGUUUUAUGACCUUCUAGAAAAGGGUGAAAUUGGUGUAGUUGCAGAAGAGGAGUAGUCUUGUUAACUCUUUUCAAUUUUGCAUAUCUACUCCAUGCCAUAUAUUUAAUGCUACUCUCUUUUGUCUUUCAAAAUUGUUGAAGUUGCAGAAUAUGAUUGGAAAAUUUGGAACAUGGCUAGGUUUUGCCAUGAUCUAGGUAGAUGUAAUAAUUUCAUAUUGGUACUCUUUUAAGAAUCAUCAUCAUAACUUCUGAUUUGUGAACAUUUUGUGUUGUUUUUUGUUGAAAUUAAGAGACGUGAUUAAUGAUAA